rnacentral:rRNA from 1 species
ACGGGAGGCAGCAGUGGGGAAUAUUGGACAAUGGGGGAAACCCUGAUCCAGCGACGCCGCGUGAGUGAAGAAGUAUUUCGGUAUGUAAAGCUCUAUCAGCAAGGAAGAAAAUGACGGUACUUGACUAAGAAGCUCCGGCUAAAUACGUGCCAGCAGCCGCGGUAAUACGUAUGGAGCAAGCGUUAUCCGGAUUUACUGGGUGUAAAGGGAGCGUAGACGGCAAAGCAAGUCUGAAGUGAAAUCCCGGGGCUCAACCCUGGAACUGCUUUGGAAACUGUUUAGCUAGAGUGCAGGAGAGAUAAGUGGAAUUCCCGGUGUAGCGGUGAAGUGCGUAGAGAUCGGGAGGAACACCAGUGGCGAAGGCGACUUACUGGGCCGUAACUGACGCUGAGGCGCGAAAGCGUGGGGAGCGAACAGGAUUAGAUACCCUGGUA